UACAAGGUGUCCAAUUCUUGACUAAUCCUUGGGUCUGUGAUCCGGCCCCUCUUCACACAGUCCAGUUAACUGCGGGAUGUGCUUCCAACUAGCCAGGGUUCGAGCCCUUCCCAACUGAUCUGUCAAAGUGCCUAACAAGCCUAUUCAAGUUGCACCUUGCCUUCCAAGAUUUCUCUUGCCUUUCAAGAAUAAAUCCUUGUCUUUCAAGAGCCCAUGAAUCGAACUCACGACCUCUAAUCUGCCAGCACUGAAAGAGCCCGUCCUUUGCCAGUGGAGAAGUGCCCCGGGGGGUUUCUUUUAAUUGUAUUCAGUAUUCUAAAAAGCAUAAAAUGUGUUGUAAGAUCAAGUUUCAAGCUUUAUGAACUUAAGUGUUAUUUUAACUAUAUUUUUAAUAAUUAUAGAACUAG
rnacentral:lncRNA from 1 species